GUCUAUGACCCAGACUCCAUUUCAUGCGCCGUGGUUGCAUCAGCACCUGCCCCUCAGCCCAUGAUGCAAGCCAGAAGUAGAUGGGCAGUAUACCAUCACCCCAUUCAGGAGUGGCCCUGAAGGACAGUGACAAGGGAAAAUUCUCCCGGUGGAGUAAGAAAGUUAUGAGUCUAUCUGGCGAUCCACUUUGUGUGCAAGGGGCUUCAGCCAGCACGAGCAUAUGAAGGCUUUCAGAGCUUGUGACCAAUGUCAUGGAACCCAAU